UACGUAGGGUGCGAGCGUUGUCCGGAAUUAUUGGGCGUAAAGAGCGUGUAGGCGGCCAGGUAGGUCUGCUGUGAAAACUCGAGGCUCAACCUCGAGACGUCGGCGGAAACCAUCUGGCUAGAGUCCGGAAGAGGAGAGUGGAAUUCCUGGUGUAGCGGUGAAAUGCGCAGAUAUCAGGAGGAACACCGGUGGCGAAGGCGGAUCUCUGGGCCAUUACUGACGCUGAGGAGCGAAAGCGUGGGGAGCGAACAGG
rnacentral:rRNA from 1 species